rnacentral:lncRNA from 1 species
AGCCUUUUAAGACACAUGUUUUGGAAUACAGUCAAAUGCGUGCUGCUGUAUGACCAGCCUAUUUGAACUACUUAAGCAUCAACUAAUUAAUCUGCAAGUGAAGAAUACUUCCAGCAUUACUCUAUAAUUAGACAAUCUCAGGAGGAAACAAGAGGAUUUCAAAGGGGAGUCAGAUGGUUUCGCAGACCGCUACAUCAUUUAUUUUUUCAUCACUCAGAUUAUGCCUCCAAAUCCUACAGAAGUAUAACAACCAUAGAACAGACAAACACCAACAGCAUCAACAACAGAGAAACUCAGUCCAGGAGGAUAUGAAACCCUUUGUAAUAAAGAAAGCAACAUCCAUGAA